GUAUUCGUUUAUUGAAAUAAAGAAAAGAACCAACCAUCACGGCGGCGAUGUGUAGUAAUACAUAUCGACAAGCUGGCUUAUAUCGGUAGAACCCAAUUGUGAAAACAAGGGCAAUACCGAGGGAAAGACUACCUAGUGUGUAGUGUGCCCGUAGAGACUGAACGCCAGACACCUUUAAUAAAGGUGAAGAUACAGUCCGAUCCUCAUAGUAAUGUGAGU
rnacentral:ncRNA from 1 species